UGUACGUGUUUCAAGACAUUUUAAUCCAUUUAAUAUCUUAUUCAUAUGUACACUUCUCUCUCUUUUUCUAUCUCUCUAGAUAUCCAUUUUUCCAUAUCUAAUUUCAUUCUUCUUCUUAUCAAAAUCAUUCAUAAUCAACCACCAAAACUCUAGAUCUACAAGCGUAACAACCCGGUGACGGUGUAGUUCAAAAUUCUUCUUCUUAUCCAUCGAUCCACCACAAAUCAUCACCAAAACCAUUUGUUUUCUUAGCGGAGUUAGUGCUUUGAGUGGUUCAAGAUCCGAUGGUGGUUUCAAGAUCCGGCGGUGGUCAACAAAUUCGAUGUUGAAGAUGAUCCAAAAGAUGUUUGAUGUUGAACAUGGUGUUCCAGAUCCAUAAAUUUGCAAUUUUCAGUUACGAAAUGUAACAAUCAAAGAAAAAAUGCAUGUUACAUUUUUUGGUGUUACAUAAAUUAUGCAUGU
rnacentral:lncRNA from 1 species